UACGUAGGGCGCGAGCGUUUGUCCGGAUUUAUUGGGCGUAAAGAGCUCGUAGGCGGCUUGUCGCGUCGACUGUGAAAACCCGCGGCUCAACCGCGGGCCUGCAGCCGAUACGGGCAGGCUAGAGUUCGGUAGGGGAGACUGGAAUUCCUGGUGUAGCGGUGAAAUGCGCAGAUAUCAGGAAGAACACCCGUGGCGAAGGCGGUUCUCUGGAACGCAACUGACGCUGAGACGCGAAAGCGUGGGGAGCAAACAGG
rnacentral:rRNA from 1 species